AAUCAAACAAUGCAAUCAAAGAAAUUUCCUUAACGUUCUGUGCGUGACUAUAGGUGAUAAAUCAAACAUAUGAUAUAAGAAGAAUAGCAUAACAUUUCAUCAGCAAGC
rnacentral:ribozyme from 1 species